rnacentral:lncRNA from 1 species
CAUUGACAUUUUCCCCUAAGAGAUAGCAGUUCUCCACAUUUUUAUAUAAUCUCUUAAAAGGUAACGUUUAAUUUAUGUAUAUGUAUAUAACUUCUGCUAAUACGACCAGUCUCCACUAAUACAUAUAUGUGACUAGAUGACCAUAUGGGAAGUCUGUUCAUAUUUUUAGUAACUUUCAUUUUUUUUCACCAGACAAUAAAAUGUCCAGUAUCAAAUAAAUAAGGGUCAUGUGAUUCCCAAGUAAACUGACCAGAAUGCUCAUCAAAUUCGAAGAAGCGGAGUCAGAUCGUUUCCAAAGGACGAAGGCUGCGCCCCUUCGAAGUCAGUGACCUGUGGAAUGUGGCGAUCUUGUCUUGUACUUAAUAUGUGAUGGCUCGUGGCCGAUCCUGUUGUGUGCUGGGAAUACUGGAACAUCAAGCUAGAAAGCACUGGAUGCCCUGAUCAUGGUGGAUCAUCACUCCAGUCGUGGAUAGCUACAUUCACGUGAGAGGUGUCCCUCACAUGUCAGCUGAGACCCAGGAAGCAGCCUGGGAUCCCUCAGCCAUCCUCACCCAGGGCUUUCUGGAGGUGCGCAGUCUUCAGAGAUAUUGAAGGUGUUGCACAGUAGAUGAUGCAAUUUCACAGCCAGCCCUUGCCAAGCUGAUUUCCAAUCCAGGGAGCAGGAAUAGUCAUGCAGAAGAGUGAUUAGCCUUGAGCUAACAUCUGCUGCCAAUCCUCCUCUUUUGCUGAGGAAGACUGGCCCUGAGCUAACAUCCGUGCCCAUCUUCCUCUACUUUAUAUGUGGGACACCUGCCACAUCAUGG